rnacentral:rRNA from 1 species
AUACGUAGGGGGCGAGCGCUGUCCGGAAUGAUUGGGCGUAAAGGGCGCGUAGGCGGCCCGGUAAGUCUGGAGUGAAAGUCCUGUUUUUAAGAUGGGAAUUGCUUUGGAUACUGUCGGGCUUGAGUGCAGGAGAGGUAAGUGGAAUUCCCAGUGUAGCGGCGAAAUGCGUAGAGAUUGGGAGGAACACCAGUGGCGAAGGCGACUUACUGGACUGUAACUGACGCUGAGGCGCGAAAGUGUGGGGAGCAAACAGGAUUAGAUACCCUGGUAGUCCACGCUGUAAACGAUGAAUACUAGGUGUGCGGGGACUGACCCCCUGCGUGCCGCAGCUAACGCAAUAAGUAUUCCACCUGGGGAGUACGAUCGCAAGGUUGAAACUCAAAGGAAUUGACGGGG